GUCGAGCGAAUGGAUUAAGAGCUUGCUCUUAUGAAGUUAGCGGCGGACGGGUGAGUAACACGUGGGUAACCUGCCCAUAAGACUGGGAUAACUCCGGGAAACCGGGGCUAAUACCGGAUAACAUUUUGAACCGCAUGGUUCGAAAUUGAAAGGCGGCUUCGGCUGUCACUUAUGGAUGGACCCGCGUCGCAUUAGCUAGUUGGUGAGGUAACGGCUCACCAAGGCAACGAUGCGUAGCCGACCUGAGAGGGUGAUCGGCCACACUGGGACUGAGACACGGCCCAGACUCCUACGGGAGGCAGCAGUAGGGAAUCUUCCGCAAUGGACGAAAGUCUGACGGAGCAACGCCGCGUGAGUGAUGAAGGCUUUCGGGUCGUAAAACUCUGUUGUUAGGGAAGAACAAGUGCUAGUUGAAUAAGCUGGCACCUUGACGGUACCUAACCAGAAAGCCACGGCUAACUACGUGCCAGCAGCCGCGGUAAUACGUAGGUGGCAAGCGUUAUCCGGAAUUAUUGGGCGUAAAGCGCGCGCAGGUGGUUUCUUAAGUCUGAUGUGAAAGCCCACGGCUCAACCGUGGAGGGUCAUUGGAAACUGGGAGACUUGAGUGCAGAAGAGGAAAGUGGAAUUCCAUGUGUAGCGGUGAAAUGCGUAGAGAUAUGGAGGAACACCAGUGGCGAAGGCGACUUUCUGGUCUGUAACUGACACUGAGGCGCGAAAGCGUGGGGAGCAAACAGGAUUAGUACCCCUGGUAAAA
rnacentral:rRNA from 1 species